GCGGACGCAUGCGCACACUGGUUUUCCGUGUACGUCACUAUUUGACCUGGCUGUGGCUGUCCGAUCUGUGUACGCAUGCGCGACACCAGCUACACAUGUGUAGGUAGAGAAGUGGUCGGUGAUGUCUCACCUAGGGAUAUGAGCUAACCGCGCCGUGUAUCCCCAAGUUAUACGAUCAAAGCCCAUCAUCUGUGCUCUAGCUCAGCUGACAGGUGUGUCCACACAGGAAGCAGAGAACUUGUUCCUUGCUGGUCUUCAGCAUAGCAGAAGUGAGAUUGAAGACUUUGACCCAAGAAUAACCUGUCAAAUGAAAAAGGACGGUCUGCUGUAGAACUGUACAUUUUUGUUAUUGCUUUUCACUUUUUUCUAAA